UACGUAGGGGGCAAGCGUUGUCCGGAAUCAUUGGGCGUAAAGAGCGUGUAGGCGGUCCGGUAAGUCGGUUGUGAAAGCCCAGGGCUCAACCCUGGGAUGCCGACCGAUACUGUCGGACUAGAGUUCGGAAGAGGCGAGUGGAAUUCCCGGUGUAGCGGUGAAAUGCGCAGAUAUCGGGAGGAACACCGGUGGCGAAGGCGGGUCUCUGGGCCGAUACUGACGCUGAGGAGCGAAAGCGUGGGGAGCGAACAGG
rnacentral:rRNA from 1 species